GGGUGCGAUCAUACCAGAACUAAUGCACCGGAUCCCAUCAGAACUUCGAAGUUAAACGUGCUUGUGCGAGAGUAGUACUAAGAUGGGUGACCUCUUGGGAAGUCCUCGUGUUGCACCCU
rnacentral:rRNA from 1 species